rnacentral:rRNA from 1 species
AAAUUUCUUUUUGCAGCGCUUAUUGCGCGGCGAAACCUUACACACUAUGUUUUUUUAAUUUGAAACUAUUGCUUUGGUCUGGCUUAGAAAUAGGUUGGGCCAAAGGUUUUAUCAAAACUUCAAUAUUUAUUAUUGAAUUGUUAUUUUUAAUUUUAUGUCAAUUUGUUGAUUAAUAUCAAAAAUCUUCAAAACUUUCAACAACGGAUCUCUUGGUUCUCGCAUCGAUGAAGAACGCAGCGAAAUGCGAUAAGUAAUAUGAAUUGCAGAUUUUCGUGAAUCAUCGAAUCUUUGAACGCACAUUGCGCCCUUUGGUAUUCCAAAGGGCAUGCCUGUUUGAGCGUCAUUUCUCUCUCAAAUCUUCGGAUUUGGUUUUGAGUGAUACUCUUAGUCAGACUAAGCGUUUGCUUGAAAUGUAUUGGCAUGAGUGGUACUAGAUAGUGCUGAACUGUUUUCAAUGUAUUAGGUUUAUCCAACUCAUUGACCAGUAAAGUAUUUGUUUAUUACACAGGCUCGGCCUUACAACAACAAACAAAGUUUGACCUCAAAUCAGGUAGGACUACCCGCUGAACUUAAGCAUAUCAAUAAGCCGGAGGAA